GCAGAGAGGGGUGAGUUACACCUGCAGAUAAAGCACGACGAUAGCCACUCCUCUACAAGGCUCUAUCUCAGGCAGAAAUGGACUGGCUCUCAACUGUGUGUGUCAUCUGAUGAUGCAGAUCAUGAAUCCCCAGAAGGAACAUUUUGUGGAUUUUGAGACAGAUCUGUACUGGAUCUGCGCUAGUCCUGUAGGUGUGAGAGGAGACGCCCUCUACUGGUGAAGAGGAGGAACCUCUGUGUCAACAGGACCAACAGGCCGACUUGUGAC